rnacentral:siRNA from 1 species
UAUUCAAGCAACUCUGUUCUUCCC